AUAUUGAUUAGAUAGAGUAGUAGCGUCCGUUAAAACACUUUUACGAAGUGAGUUGUGUACCUAUGUGAUGUGCUAACCUCUGUCGUGUCGUGCUUCAACUAUUAAAUAUUGAUUUUAAAGUCUGAAAAGCAUCAUGGCUGAAAUGGCUAAAGUCAGAAUUUGAAAUUUAAGAAAAAAUUGCCAUGAUAUUUGUAUUUCUAGUCAUUAAAUUAGUAUUUAUGUGUGAAAUCAGUGAUUGAUUUAAUAAUUUAAUAUAGUUUUGUGUGAUGUUUUAGUGUGAGAAGUGUAUCACUGUCUUAUAUUUAAGCCGAAGCACUCCAAUUCUACAUUUUCGAGGCUAUUUAUCAAAAUAAGAAUGCCAAUGCUUGAGAACAGUUACUAUAAAAUAAGAAAUAUUUAAGAAAAAAGAAUUGUUGAAUUUUCUUUCUUAUAAUAUGAAAAUAAAUAAGUUAAAAAACUGUAAUAAAUCUUCCAGCAUUUAACAAAAGACAAGAAACUACAUACAUUUUUUCUGGGUAUACUUAUGAAAAAAAAUGCAUCUUUAAAUUUUCAACAACAAAAAAAUUUGCUUCCUUGGUCAUACAAUUCUACUCAUUCGAUUCGCACAAAACUGAUUGUGUCGCUUCCAAAAAAAUAUAUAUUUUGAGAACUAAGAAAAAAAUUGGAAUUGUGGGAAAAAAACAACCACG